AGUGAACGCUGGCGGCAGGCCUAACACAUGCAAGUCGAACGGCAGCACAGGGGUAGCAAUACCCUGGGUGGCGAGUGGCGGACGGGUGAGGAAUACGUCGGAAUCUGCCUAUUUGUGGGGGAUAACGUAGGGAAACUUACGCUAAUACCGCAUACGACCUACGGGUGAAAGCGGAGGACCUUCGGGCGUUCGCGCAGAUAGAUGAGCCGACGUCGGAUUAGCUAGUUGGCGGGGUAAAGGCCCACCAAGGCGACGAUCCGUAGCUGGUCUGAGAGGAUGAUCAGCCACACUGGAACUGAGACACGGUCCAGACUCCUACGGGAGGCAGCAGUGGGGAAUAUUGGACAAUGGGCGCAAGCCUGAUCCAGCCAUGCCGCGUGUGUGAAGAAGGCCUCGGUUGUAAG
rnacentral:rRNA from 1 species